rnacentral:rRNA from 1 species
GCUCCCUCCGCGCCAUCAGACUCCUACGGAGGCAGCAGUAAGGAAUAUUGGUCAAUGGGCGCAAGCCUGAACCAGCCAUGCCGCGUGCAGGAAGACGGCCCUACGGGUUGUAAACUGCUUUUAUACGGGAAUAAACCUACUUACGUGUAAGUAGCUGAAUGUACUGUAAGAAUAAGGAUCGGCUAACUCCGUGCCAGCAGCCGCGGUAAUAC